UUUUUUUUUUUUUAUUUAAUUCUUUGACAUCAAAUUAAUUUCAAAAUCAUGAUCAAUUAAUGCUAUAAUUGAUUCUUUUAACUCUCCUAAUUUUACUAAAGUUUUUUUAGUAGCCCUUGUCCAAUGAUGUCUUCAAUAAUGACUAGAAGCUUAAAUCACAUCUUCUUCUUUUGUAAAACUAACUUAUAAAAUAUCUCCAAAAAUUUACAUUUCAUCUUCUUUAUUUAUAUUGCUUUCUAUUGCCUUUGUUUCUUGUACAUUUGAUGUCAUAGUAUCUCCUAUAGAUUUUUUUUUUUUUUUUUUUUUUUUUUUUUUCUUUAUUGUGUCAAUAAUGAAUUCAUGAAAUUAAUGCUUUGUAAUCUCUAAAAUUUUACCAAUUAUAAAUUCAACCUUUCUACCUAAAUUCUAUUUUUUUAAUAUCUUUUUCUAAUCUAUAAUAACUUUUUUUUUCUUUCAUAAUUUUUCUUUCUUUCCUAAAAAUAUUUUCUAUUUCUUCUUCAUGCAUAGGAUUCUUUUGUUUUCAUGAUUUCUCUCCAUGUAUAGUUCUUUUUGAUGGCCUUUUAUUAUUUUUGUCUCUCC
rnacentral:lncRNA from 1 species